AGCAUAUCAAUAAGCGGAGGAAAAGAAACUAACAAGGAUUCCCCUAGUAACUGCGAGUGAAGCGGGAAAAGCUCAAAUUUAAAAUCUGGCGGUCUUCGAUCGUCCGAGUUGUAGUCUGGAGAAGCGUCUUCCGCGCUGGACCGUGUACAAGUCUCUUGGAACAGAGCGUCGUAGAGGGUGAGAAUCCCGUCUUUGACACGGACUACCAGUGCUUUGUGAUGCGCUCUCAAAGAGUCGAGUUGUUUGGGAAUGCAGCUCAAAAUGGGUGGUAAAUUCCAUCUAAAGCUAAAUAUUGGCGAGAGACCGAUAGCGAACAAGUACCGUGAGGGAAAGAUGAAAAGCACUUUGGAAAGAGAGUUAAACAGUACGUGAAAUUGCUGAAAGGGAAACGAUUGAAGUCAGUCGCGUCGUCUAGAACUCAACCUUGCCUCGGCUCGGUGCAUUUUCUAGUUGACGGGCCAGCAUCAGUUUUGACCGUCGGAAAAAGGUCCUCGGAAUGUGGCACCUUCGGGUGUGUUAUAGCCUUGGGUCGUAUACGACGGUUGGGACUGAGGACCGCAGCACGCCUUUAUGGCCGGGGUUCGCCCACGUACGUGCUUAGGAUGCUGGCGUAAUGGCUUUAAACGACCCGUCUUGAAACACGGACCAAGGAGUCUAACAUGCCUGCGAGUGUUUGGGUGGUAAACCCGAGCGCGUAACGAAAGUGAAAGUUGGGAUCCCUGUCGUGGGGAGCACCGACGCCCACACCAGACCUUCUGUGACGGAUGUGCGGUUGAGCAUGUAUGUUGGGACCCGAAAGAUGGUGAACUAUGCCUGAAUAGGGUGAAGCCAGAGGAAACUCUGGUGGAGGCUCGUAGCGAUUCUGACGUGCAAAUCGAUCGUCAAAUUUGGGUAUAGGGGCGAAAGACUAAUCGAACCAUCUAGUAGCUGGUUCCUGC
rnacentral:rRNA from 1 species